rnacentral:rRNA from 1 species
UACGUAGGGUGCAAGCGUUAAUCGGAAUUACUGGGCGUAAAGCGUGCGCAGGCGGUUGUGCAAGACAGAUGUGAAAUCCCCGGGCUUAACCUGGGAAUUGCAUUUGUGACUGCACGGCUAGAGUGUGUCAGAGGGGGGUAGAAUUCCACGUGUAGCAGUGAAAUGCGUAGAGAUGUGGAGGAACACCGAUGGCGAAGGCAGCCCCCUGGGCUAACACUGACGCUCAUGCACGAAAGCGUGGGGAGCAAACAGG